UACAGAGGUCCCAAGCGUUGUUCGGAUUUACUGGGCGUAAAGGGUGUGUAGGCGGCCGGAAAAGUCAGAUGUGAAAUGCCACCGCUUAACGGUGGAUCGGCAUUUGAUACUGUUCGGCUAGAGGACCGGAGAGGAGAGCGGAAUUCCUGGUGUAGCGGUGAAAUGCGUAGAUAUCAGGAGGAACACCGAUAGCGAAGGCAGCUCUCUGGAAGGAUCCUGACGCUGAGACUCGAAGGCCAGGGCAGCAAACGGG
rnacentral:rRNA from 1 species